rnacentral:sRNA from 1 species
UGAUGUGAGGGUGAUCUGGCUGCUAAAUCUACCACACCACUGAUAGCCAGGGUGGAAACUCUGAUUUUGCUAGCUGAGUUUGUGUAACCUCCUCCCUCACCACACCUUGUGCAUUCCUCCUGAAGCUGAGCUGGUUGAAGAAGAGCACAUCCUCCUUCAAGAGGACAGGAGUAGAACCCCCAAACCAGAUGUCAAAUAUAGUCUGGAUAUCAGUACUUGUUUGGAUAAUUUG